CCAUAAUCAUGUGACUGACGGAAGUGGAGUUACCACGGGGAGCAUGAUUUCUUGAAGCCGACCGUCUGGGCAAACUUC
rfam:Megasphaera elsdenii strain DSM 20460 draft genome